rnacentral:rRNA from 1 species
CCUACGGGAUGCACCAGUGGGGAAUAUUGCACAAUGGGCGCAAGCCUGAUGCAGCCAUGCCGCGUGUAUGAAGAAGGCCUUCGGGUUGUAAAGUACUUUCAGCGGGGAGGAAGGUGUUGUGGUUAAUAACCUCAGCAAUUGACAUUACCCGCAGAAGAAGCACCGGCUAACUCCGUGCCAGCAGCCGCGGUAAUACGGAGGGUGCAAGCGUUAAUCGGAAUUACUGGGCGUAAAGCGCACGCAGGCGGUUGAUUAAGUUAGAUGUGAAAUCCCCGGGCUUAACCUGGGAAUGGCAUCUAAGACUGGUCAGCUAGAGUCUUGUAGAGGGGGGUAGAAUUCCAUGUGUAGCGGUGAAAUGCGUAGAGAUGUGGAGGAAUACCGGUGGCGAAGGCGGCCCCCUGGACAAAGACUGACGCUCAGGUGCGAAAGCGCGGGGAGCAAACAGGAUUAGAUACCCCGGUAGUC